GACAAAUGUAACUGUCUCUGUAGCUCUGCCACAGUGUAUAACAGAACAAAAACAAUCCCAGACUGUUUUAGAGAUGCACGGCUUGUGAAUUCUCCUGUCAUGCAGGUAUACACAGCUGAGAGAGACACCCCAGGGAAGACGGAGGAUAACGAACUAAGUGGAAGUGUUCAUCACGGUAUGCAUUAACAAAGAAGGGGAUUUGUUUGUUUCUUGAUCAUACAUCCACUGGACUGAGGAAGUAUACAGUGAGGAGUCAUCAUUUGGGGGGACGUUCGCUCUUUUAGGAUGCGCUCUCUCUGCUGUACCUCACAUCUGCCCUGGCCACCCUUUCUUUGGGAUGUAGUGAAGAUUGAUGCUUCAUACAGGCUUUUCCCCUAAACAUUUGCUGACUCUGGAAACCUGGCAUCAUGCCAGUGAUGAAGGGGCUGCUCGCACCCCAGAACACCUUCCUGGACACCAUUGCAACUCGUUUCGAUGGCACUCACAGCAACUUCCUCCUUGGGAAUGCUCAGGGUCAACGUGGCUAUCCCAUUGUAUACUGUUCCGAUGGAUUCUGUGAGUUGACGGGGUUCGGGCGAACAGAGGUGAUGCAGAAGAACUGCAGCUGUCAUUUCCUAUAUGGCUUGGGCACCAGUGAGCAGGUUAUUCAGAGUGUGGAGAAAGCUCUAGAGGGCAAGGAGGAGUACCAGGCUGAGGUGCAGUUCUACAAGAAGAAUGGAAGUUUGUUCUGGUGUCUGUUGGACAUCGUGCCCAUAAAGAAUGAGAAGGGGGAGAUGGUACUUUUUCUCUUUUCAUUCAAGGAUAUCACAGAAACAUAUGGAAAGAGUCAUCACAGCAGCAGAACUGAUGAUAAUAAGCCAUUCAACAGGACCACUGGAAACUCUCAUAUCAGUAAAGCCAGAAGGAGGGGUCGCACCAUGAUUUACCAGCUAACCAGCCAGUUUACCCGUGACAGCAAAAAUGAUGUCAGCCUAAGUCGGGAAAUAUUUGAAAAACCGUCCCUGCCUGAGUACAAAGUGGCAGCAGUCCAGAAGUCUCGAUUCAUCCUCCUGCAUUACAGUGUGUCCAAGGCAUUGUGGGAUUGGAUGAUUCUGCUGGCUACAUUCUAUGUUGCUGUGACCGUGCCGUACAAUGUGUGUUUCACUCCGUACAGUGAUCUGGAGACUGCAGGCAGGAGCACCAUAGUGAGCGACAUCGCAGUGGAAAUGCUUUUUAUUCUGGACAUCAUAAUUAAUUUUCGCACCACCUACGUGAGUCAGUCAGGGCAGGUGGUGUACGAGCCUCGCUCCAUCUGUCUACAUUACGCCACCACGUGGUUCUUUGUGGAUCUGGUGGCCGCGCUGCCCUUUGACCUUCUCUAUGCAUUUAACGUUACUGUUACAUCUCUAGUGCAUCUGCUGAAAACUGUGCGAUUGUUGCGUCUGUUGAGACUGCUGCAGAAGUUGGACAGGUAUUCGCAGUACAGCGCCAUGGUGCUAACACUACUCAUGUCGAUGUUUGCUCUGCUGGCUCACUGGAUGGCCUGCAUCUGGUAUAUCAUCGGGCGCAAAGAGAUGGAGAUCAAUUCCAAUGGAGUCUGGGACAUUGGUUGGCUGCAUGAGUUGGGCAGACGUUUAGACAAGCCCUAUCUGAACAGUACAGUCGGUGGUCCUUCAGUUCGCAGUGCCUACAUCGCCUCGCUGUAUUUCACCUUGAGCAGUCUGACCAGUGUGGGCUUUGGCAAUGUGUGUGCCAACACUGAUGCUGAGAAGAUCUUUUCUGUUUGUACUAUGCUCAUUGGAGCUCUCAUGCACGCUGUGGUGUUUGGGAAUGUGACAGCCAUCAUCCAGCGCAUGUACUCACGUCGCUCACAAUAUCACACGCGCAUGAAAGAUCUGAAGGACUUCAUUCGUGUUCACCGGCUGCCGCGGCAGCUGAAACAACGCAUGCUGGAAUAUUUCCAGACCACCUGGUCCGUAAAUAAUGGCAUCGAUGUUAAUGAGCUCUUGCGGGACUUUCCUGAUGAGUUACGUGCUGACAUAGCCAUGCACUUAAACAAAGAUAUCCUGCAACUGCCUGUGUUUGAGGGGGCUAGUAGGGGUUGCCUGCGCUCUCUCUCCCUCCACAUCAAAACCUCUUUCUGCACGCCGGGAGAAUAUCUCAUCAGACAGGGGGACGCAUUGCAGGCCAACUACUUUGUCUGUUCUGGGUCACUGGAAGUUCUAAAGGACAACAUGGUCUUGGCUAUUCUGGGAAAAGGAGACCUGAUUGGCUCAGACCUGCCAAGUCAGAAUCAUGUGAUCAAGACAAAUGCAGAUGUGAAGGCACUGACAUAUUGUGACCUGCAGUACAUCAGUGUGAAAGGUUUAAGUGAUGUGCUUGAACUAUAUCCUGAGUUUGCCAGCAUCUUCACUACCGACAUCCACUGUAACCUCACAUAUAAUCUGAGAGAGGGCAGUGAGACUGAGAACUACCCAGAUUCCUGUACAUCAACUGAGAAUAAGCGUCCAUCCAGUGUAGAAAAGGCUAAUGAUGAAAACAAGUACUUCCACAUCCCACCUUCUUCCAAUACAUGCCGAAAUCUUCUUCUGCCAAAUCUAGCCAGCCCAGUGCGACGUACAUCCUUGGGGAACCUUUUAGGGGAGGAGUUACUGCAGUUCAAUGCCCUGAGACAUUGCCAUUCACCCGUCAGGGGCUGGAGUCCAAACCCCUCCCCUAAACCACCGACCAAAGUACAGAAACAAACCCAUCCACCCUCAACUACACCUAAACCCAGCCGUAGGACACAGACAGAUUCUGAAGGUACAGGACGCAAACCUGCCAAACUUCUCAUCCCCACUUUCACAUGCUUUGGACCACCAGAUCUUAGUCCAAGAGUUGUAGAUGGUAUAGAGGACAACAGACAUGCAUUUAAUUUCAAUGUGGAGGACAAAACUGCCAAAACAGUGACACCGUUGCGUAGUAAGACACUGGACGGAUCUGGUCAGGUGAAUGGUUCACUGCUUCAGGAGACAAAAGAAGUGAGAGAGACCAUUACCCAACUCAACAAGAAGAUGGGCAAUCUGAAAGAGGAAGUGUCAAUUCUAACAAAGGAUCUGCAUCACAUAAUACACCUACUGCAAGCACAGAUGGCCGUUCGUCAUUACACAGCUCCUAUGUCUUCCUGUCCCUAUGGAGUCCACAUGAUGUCCAAUUCUUCUGUCAGUUUGUCUCCGGCCUACAUCUUGGGUUCUAGCAUCCACAUGCAGCACAAAGACCAUGUUGUCCCUAAGAGUCAACUGGGGUCCACAUCAUGGAGUCAUAACAGGACUGGUGGUGGAUCUGGUUUUGAACAGGGACACUUGCACCAGCAUGAGUCUAAUCAACAAUGUCCCAUCACAGCAAAUGACCCGUGUUCCCAUGACUGGAGCUCCAUCCAUUCCUUAACCAGCCAACAUCACUUCUCUACUGGAUCCACUCUCCUUAGCAUCAGCACAGGAACCCAUGGGCCAAAACCUGGAGAAGGCCCCAGAGCAGAGGCUUUAUCACUGGGCGUUUGUUCUGGAGCUUAUGCCAAUAUCAGCCAAUCGCAGCCUGUUUUGCACCCUUUUCUUUCACAAAACUUGGGCGGUUCCUCGCUCCCCUGCAAAGUCACCCCUAGCUCACAUUCACACCUACACCUUUCCACAGAACCAGCGUUUUCCUACUCCACUCCAACCCUAGGUGAGGUGAACAUGACUCCAGAAGUGGCCCCUUCCACUUUCCCACCAGAGAAUUAUCCACCUUCUCCAAAGGAAUCGGGUGUUCAAUGUUCUCUUGGGGAGUCAUCUGAGAUGGAGCACACCAGUCAGGAGUGCCUACUGGGUAAUCAAAGGCCUGGCGAAGACGGUGAGAUAUCAGAGAGCAGGUCUAGUGGAUCCAGUGCAGAACUUCAAAGCCAAUCGGAGAGCACAGAGACCACAUGGUGCUUGGAUUUGAUAGAAUGAUAUACUGUAGGAAAGACUGAAAUCAAGACGAUGGAAAUAUAUUCUGCAGCCAAAAUUUCAGUUUGAAUCUCCAUGACACAACAGUCCUUUCAUUGUGAAUGUCAUAACUUCAUGAGUAUGAUUAAUAGGAACCAGCAGCACAGCAAUUAACCCUUUCCUGUUAUACUGCAGAAAAAGGCAGUUCUGGAGUUGUUGAAAAUUUGGCUCCGCACUAGCCUCUAAAACCUGCUGGUCCUAAACGGAAAACCACAAAAUAUCAGAAUCUGGGGGCCGGAUGUUCUUUCCAAAAACUUGGUUCCUGGUAUUCCAUCAUUUUUUUUUUUUUCAAAACCUGUAAAACUAUGCAAAGGCACAUGUGAAUUAUGUCAUUAAAUGGAGAGCAACUCUACUAAAAAAGACUGUUUUAUCUAGGUGUUCACGAGUACAGUAAACUACACUUGUUAGUCUGUUACUGUGGACAUCAGCUGCAAUUUUAAAGACAUUACAAAGAAUCACUUUUACUGAACUUAUUGAAUUUCAUUUUUCUCCUGACUUGUUAAUUAUGUUUCCUAAAGAAAAUGUUGUUGCUAUGUUUCCUUGCAUACAUCUAAGAACAUUUACAUACUUUAUCAUUUUCCUUUGUAGAUCUUGACUGUUUAUGGGACAAAAAAA